CCCAAAAAAAAAAAAAAUUACAUCUACUAGGUUCUCCACCACAAAACCCUCUUUCUUCAAAAAUAUCAUAUACCCUGUGUCUCUGAGCAUUCUUUCAUCUUCCCUACCAUAAACAACCUUCUUUUAGAAGAAAUAUCACAUCUGUGAUGUCUUCUUCGUCUCACCCAGCCACAAGUACAUGCACAAUCGACUUCAUCACUCUCACUGAGUAAAAAUCCAAGAUCAUCGUCGACAACCCAUCUCCGGCUGGCCUCCCUAAUCCGACAAUUAUGACUGGCACCGAGUCAUACCAACAGCUGACACUAAGUUAUGAAUCCUUUUUCUCGCUGUGGUCGUCGUCCACUGCUUCUGCCCAGGUUUGGUGGGAUUGAAAAAGUCCCAACAUACUUGAAUCGUGAACUGACUGAAAGGAAGCAUGAAAUUAUACCUCUUGACAGGCAUUGGAGAAUUAACAUGCCUGAUGCAUUCUUUAUCCGACAAUCAUGUAAGUUUUGAUAAAUUAAGGGUUUUUGUUAUUCAGUACCAAAUGUUCGAUGAAUUGAGUUUGUUUGAAGCAUGUUUUAUUGUAAUGUUCGUGGUUUUGGAUUGGUUGAGUACGGUUUGGGGUGUUGUUUGGAUCGUAUUUUGUAGGGAAACAAUGUACAUGCUCUUGGGGAUUCAGCCGACCCAUGGGGGUGCUUUUUUUAGGGAAUCGGAAUUAGUGAAAGAAGGAAUUGGAAUUAGUUCCACUAGAAAAUUAUGAGGUCUUUGGUUUAUAUAUUGUUCAAGGAAUUUGGUGAAAGCAUUAAGGAGUUUAUUAAUGAAGAAAUUGGUGAUGGCAUCUAUACUUUUUUCCCUGCUUUGUGGACAAAGUAAAAGGUCUAGACUGGAGGAUCAUGUACAUGGUGAAAAUCUAAUCCUAACUAGCAAGAGUUUGCAGAAGUCAAGAUCCAUGUAUAGUUUCGUCGAUUGCCUGUGUUGUUCAUAGUUUCAUAACGGCAUUAAUACUACACUUGUCUAAGACGCGUUUGUAGAUCUCAAA